AUGAACGCUGGCGGCGUGCCUCAUACAUGCCAGUCGAGCGAACAGACGAGGAGCUUGCUCCUUCGACGUUAGCGGCGGACGGGUGAGUAACACGUAGGUAACCUACCUAUAAGACUGGGAUAACUUCGGGAAACCGGAGCUAAUACCGGAUAAUAUUUCGAACCGCAUGGUUCGAUAGUGAAAGAUGGCUUUGCUAUCACUUAUAGAUGGACCUGCGCCGUAUUAGCUAGUUGGUAAGGUAACGGCUUACCAAGGCAACGAUACGUAGCCGACCUGAGAGGGUGAUCGGCCACACUGGAACUGAGACACGGUCCAGACUCCUACGGGAGGCAGCAGUAGGGAAUCUUCCGCAAUGGGCGAAAGCCUGACGGAGCAACGCCGCGUGAGUGAUGAAGGUCUUCGGAUCGUAAAACUCUGUUAUUAGGGAAGAACAAACGUGUAAGUAACUGUGCACGUCUUGACGGUACCUAAUCAGAAAGCCACGGCUAACUACGUG
rnacentral:rRNA from 1 species